GACGAACGCGGGCGGCGUGCCUAAUACAUGCAAGUCGAGCGAAGUUUUUCUGGUGCUUGCACCGGAAAAACUUAGCGGCGAACGGGUGAGUAACACGUAAAGAACCUGCCUCAUAGACUGGGACAACUAUUGGAAACGAUAGCUAAUACCGGAUAACAGCAUUAACUGCAUGGUUGAUGUUUAAAAGUUGGUUUUGCUAACACUAUGAGAUGGCUUUGCGGUGCAUUAGCUAGUUGGUGGGGUAAAGGCCUACCAAGGCGACGAUGCAUAGCCGACCUGAGAGGGUGAUCGGCCACACUGGGACUGAGACACGGCCCAGACUCCUACGGGAGGCAGCAGUAGGGAAUCUUCCGCAAUGGGCGAAAGCCUGACGGAGCAACGCCGCGUGAGUGAAGAAGGAUUUCGGUUCGUAAAGCUCUGUUGUUAGGGAAGAAUGAUUGUGUAGUAACUAUACACAGAGAGACG
rnacentral:rRNA from 1 species